rnacentral:tRNA from 1 species
GGGUGUAGUUCAGUGGUAGAGCAUUUAUUUAGCAUGAGUGAGGCCCUGGGUUCAAUCCCCAGUACCACA